UACGUAGGAGGCAAGCGUUGUCCGGAGUUACUGGGCGUAAAGGGCCCGCAGGCGGUGGAGUAAGUUUGGAGUGACAGUUCCCAGCUUAACCGGGAAAGGACUUCGAAAACUGCUCAACUUGAGGACUGGAGAGGAAGGCGGAAUUCCGGGUGGAGCGGUGAAAUGCGUAGAGAUCCGGAGGAACACCGACGGCGUAGGCAGCGCCCUGGCCGUUUUACCUGACGCUGAAGCACGAAAGCUGGGGGAGCGAACAGG
rnacentral:rRNA from 1 species